UUAAUAAAGAGUUUGAUCCUGGCUCAGGACGAACGCUGGCGGCACGCUUAACACAUGCAAGUCGAACGGAGAUAUUUUGAGUUUACUUAGGAUAUCUUAGUGGCGGACGGGUGAGUAACACGUGAGCAACCUGCCUUGGAGAGAGGGAUAGCUUCUGGAAACGG
rfam:Ruminococcus flavefaciens strain YL228 genome assembly, contig: IE39DRAFT_scaffold00011.11